GACGAACGCUGGCGGCGUGCUUAACACAUGCAAGUCGAACGGAAAGGCCCCUUUGGGGGUACUCGAGUGGCGAACGGGUGGGUAACACGUGAGUAACCUGCCCUUGACUUCGGGAUAACUUCAGGAAACUGGGGCUAAUACCGGAUAGGAAUCCUUGCUGCAUGGUGGGGGUUGGAAAGCUUCGGCGGUUUUGGAUGGACUCGCGGCUUAUCAGCUUGUUGGUGGGGUAGUGGCUUACCAAGGCUUUGACGGGUAGCCGGCCUGAGAGGGCGACCGGCCACAUUGGGACUGAGGUACGGCCCAGACUCCUACGGGAGGCAGCAGUGGGGAAUAUUGCACAAUGGGCGGAAGCCUGAUGCAGCAACGCCGCGUGCGGGAUGACGGCCUUCGGGUUGUAAACCGCUUUCAGCAGGGGCGAAGCUUGUGGUGACGGUACCUGCAGAAGAAGCACCGGCUAACUACGUG
rnacentral:rRNA from 1 species